AGCAAAGAUUACCACCUAACAUUUCAUGCUUGUCAGGAAAGCAUUUCCUGCAAAACGCUUACAAAUGAGCCCCUUCUCAAGUCUUGACUGAAAUGCAUUAUGCAGAAAUCUGACAGCUGCUCAGCACAAUUUGCAAGCUGCAGAGAAUUCAAAAUAGUCUUACAUGUCUAGGCAGAAAUUCACUUACAGCAUGGAGGUUAGGUACAUUAUUUGCACCGUAUCAGCCCAUGUUGUGUUUAAUUAAGAUAUGGUAAGCAUCACUGGGUUAUCUUUGAUAGCUAAGAAUUUUUUGCUCCAGGUGUAACAUAUUUGCAGUUAAUGAGUCUGAUUUUUUUGUUUUUCUUCCCUCUUCCUUUCUUGCUCUUUGUAAAAACCUAAUAGGCUGUCAAAUCUUUUAUUAUUUUUCUUGAAGGAGCCUUCUGUUGGAUGUAUAUCAUUAUCUUAGUACAGAUACAUUCGUCAACUUCAUUCAUGGUAACUGGCUCAUAUGAACGGAGUAGGUUUUACUACAUAUGUAAUGUGUAUUACAGUUAAUCUCACAGCAGGUAUAAAUUAAUAUCUGAUGUGAGGACAACAGAAAAUGCCCUCAAAAGAAAUCGAUCAACAUGUAUUUGAACAGACAGAAAUGAAAUCUAAGUUAAAACAGCCAAAACCUUAGCAAGAAAUAGCAGGAAAAAAAAACCCAAAUAAUUAAAACAGAAACAAUGUUUAUUUGUACUUGUUAUCAAAGAUGAAUGAUUUUAUAAACUAAGGUAAAACAGUAAAUCAAACACAAAUAAAGUAAAACUGUAUUAUAUUAUAAAAAUUCAAAAUGUCACCUUAAACUCACAAUGAAGUGGCCUAACAAAAGCAGUGGAGAAAAAGAGAAGACAGUAAAAUGCUCUGCUAUACCAAAAAUGGAUCAAGCCACUGCCUGAAUUUUUUAGUGCAAGCAUUUGCUGAGGUGCUAUGCAGAUAUCUUUCUCCCUUCUUCUAUUUUUCUUCUAUCUACAUACACUUUUAAAGUGCAACUUCUCUUAAGAAGAAAACGUCCAUCAUUUUUUUUAAAAGCCCCUGAGAUAAGAACAACAGUAGGAAUUAAAAAGGGAUAAAUCAUCAUAUAGAGUAUACACAAGGAGAAAGCACUGAAACUAUCAAACUUAAAACAGCUGCUUAAAUACAAAACAAAAUGACAGAUUUAGCUAGUUAUUAUAUUUCCUUCACUCUGUUUUAUAUGGUUUGUCUGCUCAGGAUAAGAUUUAACUCACUCAGAACCUUAACCAUUCUGAUUUCUAGGGUCUAUUUGGGGACUUUUCAGAAGAAUCCUUGAGGGAAAGGAAAAGCAUGUGUUCAUCUUGUAAUGGAUCAUAUCUGAAAAGUGAAAGGUACGUUCCGAGCUCCUGGGGCUGAUUUGUUCAAUAUUUAAACAGAUCUUCAGGUAUCUUAGAAUAAACUUGUUACUGGGUUGCAUAGCUUCCUUAGCUUGGGAAUGGAAGGAAGGCAUAAGGUGCUUAUUUGUUAUCCUGGAAAUAAACCGAGCUCUGUAGUAUCAGAAAAAUAGUAAAUGUAACAGUAAUAUAUACAACAAAUCCUGACUAGCAGCAUUAGUUAGAAAUUGUGUUCCUUUGAGAAAUCAGCUAUGAGUUGAUUUUUACCUUAAAAUGAAAUAGAAGCAUAAACAGGAAAGGAGAUGGUCAUCAUUUAUUGUGGUUUCAUAUAAAUAUAUUAAUUUAUGGAGCUGGAUAGCAUGUAUAUCCAUUUAUUGUAAACUGGGAUAUGUUAGUAAAGCAGAACAUGCCUUCUUUUAAGACAUGACGUUGUUACAGUAUCACGGCAUGUUAAAAAUUCUUUUUUUUCUUCAAAACUGUUCAGGUCUUGUACAUUUUUUCCAGUUGUUUCAGACUGGGAGGUGGGAGGUGUAGUGAUGUUACACACGUUAAAAUAGUCAGGUGGAACAUAGUAAAUGAAGAUGUUACAAUUCAUGGUAACAUGACUCAGAAAAACAUACUUAAUACACCAUUGUGUUAUACUGGGAAUGUGUGGUCUAUUAUUGCGUAUUUAGAAGUUUUGUGAGAUGAAUAAUUUAAAUCACAGCGCUUUUGUUUGAAAAGAAAAGAGAAGCAUAUUCCCUGGCCGGAAGCAGACAUGAAAAAGCAGAAUAAGCUGCAUCUCUGCAACCAUUUUCAAGAUGCUGUUGUAUUUUUGCUAAUCUGAUUAGGAAAAAUCUGAGUAGAAGAUCAGCAGACUGAUAUAAAUGUAUUUGGGCUGAGAGAUAAAAGAGUAGGAUUUUCUUCAAAAUUCCCUCAUCUGCCCUUUUCUUUCCACACUGUAAACAAUGCCAUUUUCUUUAGGCAUUUCCAUAUUCUCUUGACCUUCCCUUCAUUAGUAUUUUGUGUCUUCCCAAAAUUUCAGCACAUUUUCUUUUCUUUCACCCUUGAGCUGUACCUGAUUGGAUUUGUGCUUACGUUUGGGGGAAAGUUAUACGUUGUUGGCAAUUUCAGUUCUGUGCUACAUAGUGCAACGAGAAUACGAGGGAAAAACUUAAAAUGUCUAGCAGCAAAAUGGAUGAAGAUUAAACAAAAAAGAAAAUGAUGGGCUAUGCUGAUGCAAUGCUUUCUCUUGCCUUUGAUAUAAGUCUCCCCUUUUGUCAAGUUUUCUGAGCAAAGCUCUUUAAUCAUAAUUUGCUUGUUAAGGUAGAACUUGGUUAUAUUUAAAAUAAUGUUAACAUCUCAACAACUGCUGCUUGCUUCAAUACCAUUUUCGUAUGGGCUUUAGGAUUUCUGAAGAUGUAAAUUCAUUUUGAAAUAAUCCUUAUUGCCUUUGAGGAGAGCGUUUAUUAUAUUUGGCAAUGGCUGUUCUGCAGAAAAUUGGGAAACUAGCCUGAAUCUCUGGAAUGGUUUAUGAUUCAGUCCCACUUCAUGAGUGAGCAUUGCCAAAUGCUUUGUUUCCAGUUUCUACCAUGAAAGUUUUAUAUAUAUGAGUGUGUGUAUAAACAUACCCACAAAUAUUAAAUAUACAUAUAUGAGAUUGUGCAGUAUAUGUAUGUAAAAACAUAUGUAAGUUUGCUUGAUAUUUCUUCCUAGUUGAUUCCGAAAGCUUCAUUCUGUUGAAUUAGAUAAGCUUGAAUAGAGGCACAUUGGGACACUAGUAAUUCUGGAUAUUCCGUUUGAACAGGCAAAGGAGCUUUAUUAAGAAAAGGAGAUAAAAAUGUUGUGCCAUAGCUUUCAGAAAUGUUCUGAGCUUCAAAGGAAAAUAUACUUAUCUGGCUAUUACAAGAUGAGACUGAACUUGUGAUGACAAGCAUGACAACAAAUCAUCACGUUGCUUGCUGUGGCUCAGGUCAGUGUAGUCUUUCUGCAACAAUUUUUCUACGCUACUGCAAUGCAAAUGUACAUCUGAGAGUGCUGUUAUAUUGUAUCCUGGAGCACAUCAAAUCUGCCAGAAAUUAUUCCAGUAUCUACAAGAAAUCGCUUCAUGCUUGUGCAAGUGUUUAAAGGUUAUUAAAAAUUGUCAGUUUCUGAAAGCAUGUUCUACAAUAUUAUCAUUCCUAAUGUUUUCAAAUGUGUAUUCUUUUACAAUGAGUGAUAAUUAAAGAGCAUACAUUAUUAAAUCACAGUAGUAAGAAUGAGCCAAAUUCUGUCACUUCUAUUCACACUAGAAAGAAAAUAACUUGUUUUUGAUGGAAUUUUCAGAGCAGUGGAAAUUUCUAAGGAGUAUCAGUAAAAUUGCAAAGGAAAAGGCUGCAACACCAACAUGGUAAUGACUGUGUUGGUUUUUAACAGUAACUGAAAAUAUUUUUGCUGAAUUUUUUUGUGAUUAUUCCGAGCUAUGUGUAUGUGCUUUUUUCCUUGAUUUAGAGAUUUAAAAUACAGAGCUAGAUAGAUGGUGUAUUACUACUGCACUGCCAGAAAUGCCCACAGAGACUGUCCAAAGAUAGUCUGUGAAACAGCCAUAUGGCCAGGAGCUGAAACAUAUUAAUUGCUGUUCCAGAAUAAUAUGGGUGUAGUACCUCUUCCAUUUGCAGAAUAGUGCAAUGUUACUAAACCACUUGAUUGAAUUUUUCUUCAAAUAUGUUAGAUUGUGUUCUAAGUGGCAUCUCACUUUUGUAGCAUAUAUGUUGCUCUUUUUCCAGUAACAUAGAAAAAUGCAGUCUCAUCUCAUCUACGGCAGCAUGGCUUUAUGCAACGUGACAUUUAGAAAAUUGUGAGAGGUCUUGUUCAUUUCAUUUUAUUGAGGUAGAUAAAUCUUUUUGUUCAUUCUUGGGGAAGCCAAAAUACUGAAAAUAAUGACGAGAGAAAGGCUCCAUGGUUGUUUGUACAUAGAGUAUAUAUUUCAUAAAUUAUUUAACUAAUUGGUAUCUUGGAAAGGUGAGCUCUACUAUGCAUGUAGUAUUGAUAGCUAUGAUUUAGAGGGAGUUAACACCUAUUAUAAUUUUCAAUUCCAUUUCUUCUUUCCUAAAAAAGGGAGUUUUUUACCUUACUCCUCACUAUUGUGUUUUCUUCUUCCACGCUAAAAAAAACCAAACUUUUAAGGCCACUUGAAAGGUGGUAGUGAUCAUAAAAUGCUUACAUAUUUUAAUCUUGAUUUGGUGAAUGAAAAGAAAAUCAUGUCCAUGACCCUUAGAAAUGGUUGACAUGAAUGAUAAAUAAAAUCAAAAAGAGAAAAAUAGGGGCAAUGGGAAAGUUUGCUGCCUAAAAGACAGAAGCUGCUGAGCAGUAAAUCAGCCAUUCAUUUGUGAGAGUUCCAGGCUCAAGAAAUAUUGUAUUGAGUAGUGCAGAAAUUGAGCUAUUUUCCUUCACAUAACGAGUAUGACAUGGAUUCUGGAAAUGUAGGCUUUCUACUCCCUCCAUCCAUCUGUGUUCUACAUCCAUCUGUCAUAUGUAUCCCCGUUUAGAUUGAAAAUGUUCUGGAUUUGUGGCAGUGUUUGUGUUUAGAACCCAACCAACCAAUAGGCUGAAUGCAACAGAAGCUGUGAGACCUACUGAUAUAAUCACUUGGCAGUAGGAGCUCUGCUAUAGGUAGGAGCUCUGCUAUGGGCCAUUUUUGUUAUUGGAGUUGCUAAAUUCUGACAUAUGCUUAUCAUGUUGCGGGUAAGGGAAAAAACAUGGUUGCAGUCUACUGUUCUUAGGACACACCACUUCUGAAUGGAUGGCUGGGAACUGGCAUCUGAGUGAACAGACUGGCAAUACUGCCUAAAAUGCAAAGCUUAAGCUAAUCAAUAAAUAGUUGUUUUUUUUUUUUUUCAGAUGAUGAAACCAAAAGCCUAGUUGUUGCUUGAUAUACUAGAUCUAUAGUUUUUGCUGUGUCUUUAAUUAAUGACAACUGGAUAAUAUAGAAGGAAGAAAAAAGGGGAAAUGAUUUAAAAGCUCCCAGUUGAAAUUUUUUAUUCAGUACCAUCUUGAGUAUUAUCACAGAGAUCAGUACAGUGUGAAUCACCAUCUCUGCUCUGUAACAAGAAAUAAAGAGCCAUUUCACUCAACAGGAUCUGCCAAAAGAGUACUGCUCUAUUCAGUGCUAAUGGAUUGACAGGAGUGCAUAUGCUUCUUCAUCCUUAAAGGUGGAGGAAGAAUAGAGCAACAGCUGUUUAUACGCUUUGUUGUUUGCUCUCUCCGUUUUGAGGUUUCUGUCACUUCUCAGCAGCUUUAUAUAAUUUUUGUUCCUAAGAUUAAGACGAACUGUUGAAAUUAAAAUUACUUUCACUGUGUAUUUCAUAUG